GCUGCGGAGGGAUCAUUACACAACAAAAUAUGAAGGCCUGGCUUCGCGGCCGGCUGAAAUAUUUUUUUCACCCAUGUCUUUUGCGCACUUGUUGUUUCCUGGGCGGGUUCGCCCGCCACCAGGACCAAACCAUAAACCUUUUUUUUAUGCAGUUGCAAUCAGCGUCAGUAAAAACAAUGUAAUUAUUACAACUUUCAACAACGGAUCUCUUGGUUCUGGCAUCGAUGAAGAACGCAGCGAAAUGCGAUACGUAGUGUGAAUUGCAGAAUUCAGUGAAUCAUCGAAUCUUUGAACGCACAUUGCGCCCUUUGGUAUUCCAAAGGGCAUGCCUGUUCGAGCGUCAUUUGUACCUUCAAGCUUUGCUUGGUGUUGGGCGUUUUUUGUCUCCCUCUUUCUGGGAGACUCGCCUUAAAACGAUUGGCAGCCGGCCUACUGGUUUCGGAGCGCAGCACAUAUUUUGCGCUUUGUAUCAGGAGAAAAGGACGGUAAUCCAUCAAGACUCUACAUUUUUAACUUUUGACCUCGGAUCAGGUAGGGAUACCCGCUGAACUUAAGCAUAUCAA
rnacentral:rRNA from 1 species